AACAGAAACAAAAACAAAGAAGGCAGGGCUCUAAUCUGUUAGAACUAGUGUCCUUAAUAGAAGAGAAAGAGACACAAGAAAUUUCUCUCUCCUUGUGCACAGAAAAAGGACCAUGUGAGGACACAGUAUGGAGGCUGAAAUCAGCAAGCUAGGUAGAGAAGCCUCAUCAGAAACUAACCACGUUGGCAUCUUGGUCUUGGGACUUCCAGCCUCCAGAAGUAUGUUAAACAACAUUUUCUGUUGUUUCUAUUGUAUUUUGUUAUGUAAACCCAAGUUAGUACAGGACAGUUAGCUGAGAUGAGAAAAGCCAAAACUUACAAAGAAAAUGUAAAUACCUACAGUUCCAUCACCCAGAAUUAGCAGCUGCUAACAUAUUGUCACAAUGCCUUGGGUUCUUUUCUUUUCCCCUUCCCUCCUUCUUUUUUUCUCCCUCCCUCCUUCCCUCUCUUCCUUUCUUCCAUCCCUCUUUCCUUUUUUUCUUUCUAAUGCAAUAGAGAUUAAGCUAAUGUUCCCUUAAACUACACAACUUAUCCCCAUACCCAGAAACAACCACUGAAACCAAUUUGGUAUGUAUCAUUCCAAACAAUUUCCCCCUGUACUUUUACAUUAUAUAUAUAUGUCCAUAAACAAUAUAUAUUUUUGUGUGUUUACUUUUAACUUACAUAAAUGAUAUAAUAUUGUUUCUC